GAUGAAGAACGUAGCGAAAUGCGAUAAGUAAUGUGAAUUGCAGAAUUCAGUGAAUCAUCGAAUCUUUGAACGCACCUUGCGCCCGCCAGUAUUCUGGCGGGCAUGCCUGUUCGAGCGUCACUUCAACCCUCAAGCACAGCUUGGUGUUGGGACUCGCGUUAAUUCGCGUUCCCCAAAUUGAUUGGCGGUCACGUCGAGCUUCCAUAGCGUAGUAGUAAAACCCUCGUUACUGGUAAUCGUCGCGGCCACGCCGUUAAACCCCAACUUCUGAAUGUUGACCUCGGAUCAGGUAGGAAUACCCGCUGAACUUAAGCAUAUCAAUAAGCGGAGGA
rnacentral:misc_RNA from 1 species